AUUGAACGCUGGCGGAAUGCUUUACACAUGCAAGUCGAACGGCAGCACGGACUUCGGUCUGGUGGCGAGUGGCGAACGGGUGAGUAACAUAUCGGAACGUAUCCAAUAAUGGGGGAUAACUAAUCGAAAGGUUGGCUAAUACCGCAUACGCCCUGAGGGGGAAAGCUAGGGAUCUUCGGACCUGGCGUUAAUGGAGCGGCCGAUAUCUGAUUAGCUAGUUGGUGAGGUAAAGGCUCACCAAGGCGACGAUCAGUAGCUGGUCUGAGAGGACGACCAGCCACACUGGAACUGAGACACGGUCCAGACUCCUACGGGAGGCAGCAGUGGGGAAUUUUGGACAAUGGGCGCAAGCCUGAUCCAGCCAUGCCGCGUGCAGGAAGAAGGCCUUCGGGUUGUAAACUGCUUUUGUACGGAACGAAACGGUCCUUUUUAAUACAGGGGGCUAAUGACGGUACCGUAAGAAUAAGCACCGGCUAACUACGUG
rnacentral:rRNA from 1 species